GACAGAGGGUGCAAACGUUGCUCGGAAUUACUGGGCGUAAAGGGCGCGUAGGCGGUCCGGUAAGUCGGCUGUGAAAGUCCAGGGCUCAACCCUGGGAUGCCGGUCGAUACUGCCGAACUAGAGUUCGGAAGAGGCGAGUGGAAUUCCCGGUGUAGCGGUGAAAUGCGCAGAUAUCGGGAGGAACACCAAUGGCGAAGGCAGCUCGCUGGGACGUUACUGACGCUGAGACGCGAAAGCGUGGGGAGCAAACAGG
rnacentral:rRNA from 1 species